CCGACAUCUUGGCAGCGGCACUGGGAAGCCGUGGUGGUGAAUCCAGGUCCUCAGGUCUCUGAAGGAAGCCCCCAUGAACGGGUCCGUGGGAUUAAGGAGGAAGCUGAGGUUUUAAUGAAGCAGACUCCAUUCUUCGGAGGGGUGAAAGGAGAUAACUUUUGAUGGGGACAUUUGGAAAUAAAUGUAAACAAAUGCUGAACAACAUGCUGAAUCUGGAGGCAGAAACACCCUCCGCAGAGCUGCAAAUUGAAGACUCAAAGCUCCUGUUGUGUUGAAAAGAGGGACUCUUGGGCCCGACAAGGGGACCUUGAGGAUCUCUCCUGAGAGUUCCUUUCACAUAGAUAUGCACAGAAUGAAUAGUUUAUCUCCAGCUCCUGCUGACUUUCAUGAAUAAUUUGAUGUAAAAAGCUAAGUUGGACUUCUGCUGUGUCGGAUAACUUGAGAGUACCAGCUUCUAAUAUUCCAGCCACAGACUGAAACAGACUUCCUAUUUUUAGAGGCCGAAGUGGCCUCUCUGGCUUCCACUCACCUGCAACCUUUCUUGGAAAUUUUCAAUACCUUACCUUUCCCUCCUUUAACUACCUGGCUACUUCGGGCUCCCCAAAAACUGAGAGAGGCUCUAGUGCUUCCAGCUGGCAGAAUUUCUCUUAUGAAUGAAAGCUAUUUACUUAAACAAAGAAGAUUUGGUGGGACAUAUGACCGUCAUUUUUACUGUUUCUUGUUCACCUCCCCAGGUAUACGCCAGAAAAUACUGUGGUCACUCCUGAAGGUGAGCAUCUUUCUUGUUUUACAGGGUGUAUUCGUCUGCCCAGUCUCAGUGAAGGCAAACAGAAUUGCUUAUCUGAGUAAUGUCACACAUGUGCCUAAAUGAUUGCAAGAGACUGAAAGGAGUUGGGAGUAGAAAUAAUAGCACUACUUCAUCUCUGACAGAGCAGCGCCAACAAAAUAAUGAAGCCGUGUGAAUAAAGAACCAACAUAAUAAUCAAGCUCUAACCAUUUCUGGAAAAUUAGCACUUCUUCCAUAACAGUAACGGCUGCUGGGAAAAUGGUACAAAAUAUUAACUGUCAGGUUAAGCACACCUUAAUCAACAUGUGCGGAGACCCACUGAUGUGUCCUCAAACCUGUUACUUAAGUACUUGUUAAGGCCAAUUAAAUAAACAAAAUUUUAAAGCCUAAUAGCAUAAACCACAUAAAUAACAUAAAAGAGCCAUAAUGGUUGAAUGGGUGGGUGUUUAGCCCUUCUUGAUUUAAAACAGUGAAGUGAAAAAUGUUGGAGCCCUUGAAGGUGAUUUCGAAGACGAGGAAGUGACUGUGCUACACAAACAGCAAUCAGAGACAAUUAAGAAAACUGGGACAAGUGCCUCAUUCUCUCUGCAGACUGCAUGGGAAAUUGCGCUUUACAUUUCAGUCUUGUUGCAUUUCAAAUAAGGCCCCCCAGCUAUGUCAUUUUUCAAGUCCAACUCAAAUCAAAAGAUAUUGCUUAAAAUCUUCCUAUUACUCCAGAAGUGAAAGGAAUGAUUGUCUAUGCUGAUGAGCCUGGAAGAUUGUCUUGGAAAGAAUUUGACAGUUUUGUCUCCCAGUCCCAUUAUAAUGUUAUUACUGCCCCUGAAGAAGACUGACAGAGCCUGAAUACCAGCGUAAGUAUGGGGGUAGUUUAAGAUGGCUCUUUGCUGCUGCAGAUUUCAUGUUGUUUCUCUGCACAGUAGAGAAACUGUGCGCUGCGCGUGUGUUUUCUUUUAAAGGUUAAUCUGAUGAAGAAUCUUAGUGAGACCAUAUAGUAACAAAAGAACAGAAAAUACAAGAAAGCUAAAAA